GGAGAGAGAGGAUCUGGCUGCAACAUCUGCACCACCGAUCGCUAGGGUGAUUUGUCUGAUCGGCUGUUUGGUGGUGUCCCCUCCUCCCUCAUCGCUCCAUGUGCGCCCCUCCAGGCGCUGCGGAUGACCUUCCCCAUCAGAGGAGGGCCGUUCUUUGGUCAAGGGUAUAUGAGUAGCUGUACUCCUCUGCUAGAACCUCCAAACAAGCUCUCUCAAAGUAAUUAUUUCAAAGGAGGGAUUGAGAGUUUCAUCCUCUAUGACAAAGUUAAUUUUUCCUAAAAAAUUUUAAUAAUAAAUGUUGUCCUUA
rnacentral:snRNA from 1 species